rnacentral:rRNA from 1 species
GGACAGUAAAGUCGGCUCGUGGAGCAGGUUGACACCCGCCACUGCGUUCAAAUCGACAUCUUGAACGCAUAUUGCGGCCAUGGGUUAGCCUGUGGCCACGCCUGUCCGAGGGUCGGCUUAUAAACUAUCACGACGCCCAAAAAGUCGUGGCUUGGGUUUUGCCAGCUGGCGUGAUUUCCUCUGUGACUUGUCACGUGAGGUGCCACAUCUAUGGCGUUUCCCUAAUGUAUCCGGACGCGUCCUUGUCUUGGCUGAAAGCCAUGGUAAGGUGUGGUGGCGGAAUCGUGGUUUAAUAUGACUAUGCCCCGUUUUCAUCAUGUUUGGCGAUCUCCUAUUCGGCAUGCAUAUGACUACCGCUGGAGUUAUGAUCGGGUUGGUACCUCGGUUUCAUUGUGGUUGGCGCUUUCAGUCGGCAUACUUAUGGACUCUAGGGUAAUUCCAUACCAAGCACGUUACGUUACUUUCACUCUGUCGUUGGUUGGAAGCUGGCUUGGGCAAUGCAUCUGAUGUUACAGAUUGAUUAACAGUUGCCUGUUGGCACUGUUUCCUGACCUCGGUUCAGACGUGAUUACCCGCUGAACUUAAGCAUAUCACUAAGCGGAGGAAAAGAAACCUAUCCAGGGAUCCCAACGAAGAGGAACAAUCAAUGUUGGAAGCGGGGGGGAUCAACCGGAUCCCCGAGCCGGGUGGUCCAACGAGAACCAUC